UAUUACUUUAGCCAUGAAAUGCUAAAUGCUUAAUACCAUACCGCAUGGAUACCAGGGUCUGUGAAAGAUAAGGGAUCCGUCAUUUGCAGCGUACAGUAUUAGCCUAUUAGGAUUUGAACCCUGUGGCUUCAAUAGUGAUGCAGCUAAUUUGUGGCUAAAGCUACAGUACCCAUGAUGCUUAGAGUGCCGCUCCCGGAAGUAGUGAAGUGGACACUAAUGUCAGGUUUUGAAGUCUUCUUCGGUGUUUUGACUAGGGCUGUCAAAGUUAACGCUGACGGAAGUUCCCUUUAACGCGGCAAUUUUUUUAAACGCGAUUAACUGCACUCCUCUUGUUUGACCCUCGGCAACCACCGUACUUUGGUUGACGCACAGUAACUCCAUAAGAGCUAGCUAGCCAUAAGAUAGAACAAAUAUUGAUUGGAAAUGGACAAAGAAAAGAGUAUUUAGGUUGGCAAAGUUAGCUUCAAAGCCCAGGCAGAUGGCUUUUGUAGCAAGUUAGCAAAGUUAUUUGUAUCUACUGUCGCCGUGUUUGACUUAUCACGGAUUCCAUGGCCUGCCAGAGACUGUGUAGCAGUGAAGGUAUUUUCAUUUCAAGCAUGAAAACGUUUAUGACAAUUACGAACCGGAAUCAACACUAGGAAUCUCUAAACAGAGCCAGUAUGACGCCCUACACCUCGGACGCUACAGUAUUCCCAAAGGAUUUGGACUAUUCCAGGCUGAUAAAGAUGAGGAUUAGCUGGAUGACAUCUGUGUAAGCCACAGAGUAGAGCCCCCCCAGGAGCGUGUAGACAAUGGCCACCACUGACGAGAUGAUGAUGGAGUAGACGUAAGAGAGGUCCAGGAUCACACUCAUAGUUCCACCUGGAACAACACAGCAUGGCGGUCAGCACUGUGGGGACUGAUGGGACAAACGUUACAGUCACAAGUCCAGAUUUUAACCUGUAAGGGUGAAGACGCCCACAAGCAAGUUGAUGUUCCGCCCGGCCAGCAGGGUGAUCUCCAUUCCAUCCCCCGUCCACUUUUUCUCCUCCUUCCUGGAGCGCAUGGACGCCCAGAUGCCCGUUCCCAGGAUGAGCAGAACUGAUCUGUGGUGUUUUCGUGGGGGGGCAGCCACGACUAGUCAGACCCCUUCACGGGAACAACCGAGGACCUGCUGGUGAAAUCCUGGUUGAGCACAAACCCAUGAAAAGGUUCUACCACGAUGAUGGGAACUUUGCAAGACAGCCAGGCCUGCUCGAUGUUUCCUGCACCAAGAGCAUUCCCCACUCGCACGCUAGCAGCGGCUGAAAAUCCAAGUGGGAACUGGAAGUACAACAUGUCAAUGAACAUGACAACUACAUGAACCAUUUGGAGCAGAAAGUCCGCCAUGACGUGAGUGAAUAAAAGGGCGACUGACCUUCCCACGUGGCUUUGUGCAAACCUCUGGAGCAAAUAUACACAAACAAGACAACGGCCAGCAGGUACUGUGAGAUGGCGUUGGCUGCUGCGGAUCCACUUGAAGAUGACAAACACAACAAGUUUGGAAACACAGGGAAAAACUGGAAAACCUAGUCUUUGUUUGACAUGUUAUAACGUGGUCCUCGGUUUUUAUUGUUUCAUGCUUACAAACACAAACACAAGCGUUACGGAAGACUUCAAUUAUGUCUCCCGAGCGGCUGUGUGUCAAAGAAAAGGAAAGCCAUCAGCAUGGAAGUGAAAAUGAACAUCAUAAAAAGCUAAAAAGACAGAGAAUGCACGCCAAAUAAUAAUGGCUGCUGGAUUGUGUGUGUCCUGCUGGUGCCCCCCCCCCCAUAAUAAUUGCAUAAUUAGGUAGAAAAAAAACAUACAUAAGUCGCACUGGAGUAUAAGUCGCACAAGGCCAAAAAUGCAUAAUUAGGUAGGAAAAACAUACAUAAGUCGCAAUGGAGUAUAAGUCGCACAAUGCCAAAAAUGCAUAAUUAGGUAGAAAAAAACAUACAUAAGUCGCACAAUGCCAAAAAUGCAUAGCUAGGUAGAAAAAAAACAUACAUAAGUCACACUGGAGUAUAAGUUGCACAAGGCCAAAAAAUGGAUAAUUAGAUAGGAAAAAAAAGUACAUAAGUCGCACUGGAGUAUAAGUCACACAAUGCCAAAAAUGCAUAGUUCGGCAGAAAAAAACAUACAUAAGUCGCACUGGAGUCUAAGUGGCAUUUUUUGCGGGUAAUUAAUUUUCCAAACUACUUGACCAAAACAGACAUUAGGUCCUCUUGGAAGGCAAGUGCUUAUUAGCUACAAUGCUUAUUAGCUACAAAAAAAAUAAACAUGAACAGAAAAGGUGUCCAGUGUUUAUGUAACAUAAACAGUUUUUUCAUGUAUAAGUCGCUCUGGAGUAUAAGUGGCAGGAACAGCCAACCUAUGAAAAAAAAGUGCGGAAAAUACGGUAUAUGGUGUUGGUGUUGCACUGCUGUUGAUGUGUUCAGAUCAGAGGUUAUAAGUUAUAAGUUAUAAAAAAGCGUCAAACACUUGGGAUCCUACAGUGUGCAUCCUUAUUUACAGUAAAAAAAAUGUAACGUAAUUAAUAAAAUAAACGCUAAAUUUUUGACAGCCCUAAUACAUAUAUAUAUAUAUAUAUAUAUAUGUCACCUUUUGCUGCUGUAGAAUUGAUGUUUUUUUGGGGAGGACCACUUAUACUUAAAAAAAAGGAUGGUAGCUAUGCAGAUUUCAUUUUAACAUUAUUUAUUAUAAAUAAAAUACCGCAAACUCUAAUUUCAGGCGUAUCUUUGCUGUACACAUUGUUUCACCGUGUUAACUUUACUUUUCCAGACGCACUCAUUCUGCAACUUCUGUAUGAUGUAGGAAAACUCACGCAACUCCCAAAUCCAGCGGAUAGAGGAAGACGUAAUUGUUGACUGCGUUUAGGAUGUUUCCAAUCACGCCAGUUAUGACCUGAGGCCAAAUGAUUCCCUGAAAUAUGACCAAAAAAAUACUUCUUAUGUGAUGCCCACACUGCCAUUACUACGGUUCAUAUCAAGGUUCCACGUCACCUGGUUUUGAAGGUACCUCCCUUGUAGUUGGUACAUAAACGCUGCCUGCGGUGCAAAAGCAUAAUCUUGCACGAUGGAAGCAAAUAUUUCAUGUCUAUUAUUCACGUAUACUGAGAAUGAACUUACCGGCAGAGCAGGCAUGAAGAUCUUCACGUAGAGUUGUGAUAGCCUGCACAACAGAAAAAUGGGAAUUACAUAAAUUUAAAUUCAAUGGGAAAAAUCAUGUUGUUCCG